rnacentral:tRNA from 2 species
GGCGAGGUAGCUCAGAUGGUUAGAGCGCAGGAUUCAUAACCCUGAGGUCGGCAGUUCGAUUCUGCUCCUCGCUACCA